rnacentral:misc_RNA from 1 species
CGAAAAGUGCCAUCGGAAUUUAACUGUUCGUAGUUAAUUAAUAUCGUCUGAUCGCACCUUAACCACUCGCCUUACGAUGCGAUUCGUGACGCCAAGGUGACAAAGUGGACGCGCAGAAAAUUGCCGCUGCCCGGCAGAAUUUCUCAAAAAGCGACCCACCAUUGUUGGAGGCGAGACCAGAGGGGUUGGAAACUCGAGCAUCCUUCGCUUGUUCUCACGGUGUUCGACAAACUAUCACCGAAGAAGUUUUAAAGCUGACCGAAAGCACCGACACCGGCAGACGAAUGGCUAGCGACUUUUCUCAAACUUCCUCGGCUGCUAUGCAUGGCCGCCACUUUGCUAAUAAAACGAAAAAAAACAUAGUUCUACGUGUUUUAUCAGAAUGUCGCCGAUCAUCGAAUUUCUCGACUUAUUUUUCACAUUUAUAGACGGCUAUUAUUAGGGACGGAAAUUCCUACACGAACGUGCUUCACGGUGUUUGGUACAAAAAUUUUGCACUUUUGAAACUUUCGGUUUAGCAAUAAAAGGAAAAAUUGGAUUAUGGAAAAUUUAAAAGCGCGACGAUCCACAAGAUACAGAAAAUAA